rnacentral:rRNA from 1 species
GACAGAGGGGGCAAGCGUUGCUCGGAAUUACUGGGCGUAAAGGGCGCGUAGGCGGGAUGGCAAGUCGGUCGCGAAAUCCCUCGGCUCAACCGAGGAACGUCGAUCGAUACUGCUGUUCUUGAGGAUUGCAGAGGAGACUGGAAUUCCCGGUGUAGCGGUGAAAUGCGCAGAUAUCGGGAGGAACACCGGUGGCGAAGGCGGUUCUCUGGGCCUUACCUGACGCUGAGGAGCGAAAGCGUGGGGAGCGAACAGG